AGGGAAUCUUCCGCAAUGGACGAAAGUCUGAUGGAGCAACGCCGCGUGAGUGAAGAAGGCCUUCGGGUCGUAAAACUCUGUUGUCGGGGAUGAACAAGUGCCGUUCGAACAGGGCGGCGCCUUGACGGUACCCGGCCAGAAAGCCACGGCUAACUACGUGCCAGCAGCCGCGGUAAUACGUAGGUGGCAAGCGUUGUCCGGAAUUAUUGGGCGUAAAGCGCGCGCAGGCGGCUUCUUAAGUCUGAUGUGAAAUCUUGCGGCUCAACCGCAAGCGGUCAUUGGAAACUGGGGGGCUUGAGUGCAGAAGAGGAGAGUGGAAUUCCACGUGUAGCGGUGAAAUGCGUAGAGAUGUGGAGGAACACCAGUGGCGAAGGCGGCUCUCUGGUCUGUAACUGACGCUGAGGCGCAAAAGCGUGGGGAGCAAAC
rnacentral:rRNA from 1 species